UUACUGAGUGAGGGCCCUCUGGGUCCAACCUCCCACCCGUGUUUAUUGUACCUUGUUGCUUCGGUGCGCCCGCCUCACGGCCGCCGGGGGGCUUCUGCCCCCGGGUCCGCGCGCACCGGAGACACUAUUGAACUCUGUCUGAAGAUUGCAGUCUGAGCAUAAACUAAAUAAGUUAAAACUUUCAACAACGGAUCUCUUGGUUCCGGCAUCGAUGAAGAACGCAGCGAAAUGCGAUAACUAAUGUGAAUUGCAGAAUUCAGUGAAUCAUCGAGUCUUUGAACGCACAUUGCGCCCCCUGGUAUUCCGGGGGGCAUGCCUGUCCGAGCGUCAUUGCUGCCCUCAAGCACGGCUUGUGUGUUGGGCUCCGUCCCCCCGGGGACGGGUCCGAAAGGCAGCGGCGGCACCGAGUCCGGUCCUCGAGCGUAUGGGGCUUUGUCACCCGCUCUGUAGGCCCGGCCGGCGCCAGCCGACAACCAAUCAUCCUUUUUUCAGGUUGACCUCGGAUCAGGUAGGGAUACCCGCUGAACUUAAGCAUAUCAAUAAGCGGAGGAAAAGAAACCAACAGGGAUUACCUCAGUAACGGCGAGUGAAGCGGUAAGAGCUCAAAUUUGAAAGCUGGCUCCUUCGGGGUCCGCAUUGUAAUUUGCAGAGGAUGUUUCGGGAGCAGCCCCCAUCUAAGUGUCCUGGAACGGACCGUCAUAGAGGGUGAGAAUCCCGUAUGGGAUGGGGUGUCUGCGCCCAUGUGAAACUCCUUCGACGAGUCGAGUUGUUUGGGAA
rnacentral:rRNA from 1 species